GACGAACGCUGGCGGCGUGCCUAAUACAUGCAAGUCGAACGCAGUGGGGACGGGUGAGUAACACGUGGGUAACCUCCCAUCAGAGGGGAUAACACUUGGAAACAGGUGCUAAACCGAUACUGAUGGAUGGACCCGCGGUGCAUUAGCUAGUUGGUGAGGUAACGGCUCACCAAGGCCACGAUGCAUAGCCGACAUGAGAGGGUCAUCGACCACACUGGAACUGAGACACGGCCCAAACUCCAACGGGAGGCAGCAGUAGGGAAUCUUCGGCAAUGGACGAAAGUCUGACCGAGCAACGCGGCGUGAGUGAAGAGGGUUUUCGGAACGUAAAACUCUGGUGUUAGAGAAGAGGUAUCUAACCAGAAAGCCACGGCUAACUACGUGCAAGCAGCCGCGGUAAUAC
rnacentral:rRNA from 1 species